rnacentral:rRNA from 1 species
GAUGAACGCUGGCGGCGCGCCUAACACAUGCAAGUCGAACGAUUAAAGCACCUUCGGGUGUGUAUAAAGUGGCGAACGGCUGAGUAACACGUGGGCAACCUGCCCCUUUCAUUGGGAUAGCCACGGGAAACCGUGGAUAAUACCGAAUACUUCGAGACUUCCGCAUGGAAGACUCGAGAAAGCUCCGGCGGAGAGGGAUGGGCCCGCGGCCUGUUAGCUUGUUGGUGGGGUAACGGCCUACCAAGGCAAUGAUGGGUAGCUGGGUUGAGAGACCGACCAGCCAGAUUGGGACUGAGACACGGCCCAGACUCCUACGGGAGGCAGCAGUGGGGAAUCUUGCACAAUGGGCGAAAGCCUGAUGCAGCGACGCCGCGUGCGGGAUGAAGGCCUUCGGGUUGUAAACCGCUUUCAGCAGGGACGAGGCGAAAGUGACGGUACCUGCAGAAGAAGCCCCGGCUAACUACGUG